CAUUGUCGAAAUCGAACGGAAGAACGACCCGCGAACCGUCCUUGCGUCUCAGAGAGGGCCUGUGAGCGUCACGCUUGCGCGGCUCGAGUCGCGUCGGCGUGUGCGUACGCGAGGCCCCCGUCGUGCCGACGGAAAAGCAUUUUUUCAGCACGGAUCGUGCCAAGGAGCUGCAUGGAGAGAAUCGUCGUCCCGCGCCUUUGGUCGCCCUCGUGCGUGACGCUAGGCGGGGGACGCACGUGGCCUCUGCGAACGAGUCCAAAUGACUCUCGGCAACGGAUAUCUCGGCUCUUGCAUCGAUGAAGAACGUAGCGAAAUGCGAUACUUGGUGUGAAUUGCAGAAUCCCGCGAACCAUCAAUUAUUUGAACGCAAGUUGCGCCCGAAGCCAUUCGGCCGAGGGCACGCCUGCCUGGGCGUCGCGAGUCCCCUUGCCCCUGGUCACCCGCUACGAUGCAUGCGCAUCGCGGGGGUCGACGGUCGGGCGCAGAACGUGGUUCUCCCGUUCGUUUUGCACGCGCGGCGUGUCGACGGGCGGUUGACCGAAAUUCGAGCAGGGAGGGAGCUGACGGGAACCACGCCGUUCGGUGGAUCUAAUGAGAUCGGCUGCGUCGUGGCGUCGGCACGCGUCUCGCUCCGGGCUUUGGCUAUCCCGAGUGCGA
rnacentral:rRNA from 1 species